rnacentral:rRNA from 1 species
GGAGUUUGGACCGUGUCUCAGUUCCAAUGUGGGGGACCUUCCUCUCAGAACCCCUACUGAUCGUCGGCUAGGUGGGCCGUUACCCCGCCUACUACCUAAUCAGACUCAUCCCCAUCCAUCACCAAUGAAUCUUUACUCCUCGUUAGAUGUCUGUUGUCAAGAACAUAGGGAAUUAAUCCGACUUUCGCCGGGCUG